rnacentral:rRNA from 1 species
GAUGAACGCUGGCGGCGUGCCUAAUACAUGCCAGUAGAACGCUGAAGCUUGGUGCUUGCACCGAGCGGAUGAGUUGCGAACGGGUGAGUAACGCGUAGGUAACCUGCCUCUUAGCGGGGGAUAACUAUUGGAAACGAUAGCUAAUACCGCAUAAAAGUCGAUAUCGCAUGAUAUUGAUUUGAAAGGUGCAAAUGCAUCACUAAGAGAUGGACCUGCGUUGUAUUAGCUAGUUGGUGAGGUAACGGCUCACCAAGGCGACGAUACAUAGCCGACCUGAGAGGGUGAUCGGCCACACUGGGACUGAGACACGGCCCAGACUCCUACGGGAGGCAGCAGUAGGGAAUCUUCGGCAAUGGGGGCAACCCUGACCGAGCAACGCCGCGGGAGUGAAGAAGGGUUUCGGAUCGUAAAGCUCUGUUGUAAGAGAAGAACGAGUGUGAGAGUGGAAAGUUCACACUGUGACGGUAACUUACCAGAAAGGGACGGCUAACUACGUG